UACAGAGGUCUCAAGCGUUGUUCGGAUUCAUUGGGCGUAAAGGGUGCGUAGGCGGCGCGGUAAGUCGGGUGUGAAAUUUCCGAGGCUUAACUUCGAAACUGCAUUCGAUACUGCCGUGCUUGAGGACUGGAGAGGAGACUGGAAUUUACGGUGUAGCGGUGAAAUGCGUAGAGAUGUGGAGGAACACCGAUGGCGAAGGCAGCCCCCUGGGAUGACACUGACGCUCGAGGCACGAAAGCCGUGGGGAGCAAACAGG
rnacentral:rRNA from 1 species